GACGAACGCUGGCGGCGUGCUUAACACAUGCAAGUCGAACGGAGUGGCGAACGGGUUAGUAACCCGUGGGUUACCUGCCCUGCACUUCGGGAUAAGCCUGGGAAACUGGGUCUAAUACCGGAUAGUGUGGUAUGGGCCCGCGGCCUAUCAGCUGGUUGUUGGGGUAAUGGCCUACCAAGGCGGCGACGGGUAGCCGGCCUGAGAGGGUGGACGGCCACAGUGGGACUGAGACACGGCACAGAAUACUACGGGAGGCAGCAGUGGGGAAUAGUGCAAAAGGGGCGGAAGCAUGAUGCAGCGACGCCGCGGGGGGGAUGACGGCCGUCGGGUUGUAAACUCCUGUCACCAGCGACGCGGUAGAUGGAGAAGAAGCACCGGCUAACUACGUGCCAGCAGCCGCGGUAAUAC
rnacentral:rRNA from 1 species